rnacentral:rRNA from 1 species
UACGAAGGGGGCGAGCGUUGUUCGGAAUUACUGGGCGUAAAGGGCGCGCAGGCGGCCCUUGAAGUCAGGCGUGAAAGCCCCGGGCUCAACCUGGGAGGUGCGCUUGAUACUCGAGGGCUUGAGUGCGGGAGAGGAGAGUGGAAUUCCCAGUGUAGAGGUGAAAUUCGUAGAUAUCAGGAGGAAUACCGAUGGCGAAGGCAGGUCUCUGGGCUGACACUGACGCUCAUGCACGAAAGCGUGGGGAGCAAACAGG